rnacentral:rRNA from 1 species
CUCGCCUUCUGCCAGCGGUCCGGUGGCUCCUAGUUCUGGCAAUCCAUCAUACAUCUCCUCCCAGUCCUCCGCAUCGGGACCUCGAUUGCGGUUGGAUAGGGCACCGCCAUGCUAUUUUGGUUCGAUAGAUGGUAUGGGGAAGUCCCCUUCGCGGCUCGCUUUCCUGACCUGUUCACCAUCGCGGUACAUCCGCGGAUUUUUGUUGCAGUGGCCCUUAUUGACUUAGGGCAACCCGCGUUCUGGAGACCAUUCGGACCGGCGGAGAACGCUGAUUGGCAUGACUUGUUCGACUGCAUCGCGCUGGACGAGCCGGAUCUAGAUAUGGGAGAUGACGGCACCAGGUGGCGCCUAGAGCCAUCUGGUCAAUUCUCCACUAAAUCACUCUACCAGGCUAUAGCCCCCUCGCCGGGACCUGAGGCUCUCACCACCAUCUGGGAGAUCCGGCUCCCCUUGAAGAAUAGGAUUUUCUUGUGGCAAUGGAUUCGCGGUCACCUUCCGUCCGGCAUGGAGGUCCUAAAACGCAACGGCCCUGGUGAUGGGCGUUGCUCUCUCUGCGGGCCUGAGGAGGAUUCGAACCAUAUCUUCUUCACCUGCAUGUCCGAGCAGUUCCUCUGGAGCUGUUUCCGCGAAAUAGUGGAUGGAAGCUGGGACCACAACAACUUCCCCGCUCUCUUCGCCGAACUCCAGACGCUACCACCCUCGUCUCGCCACAUUAGGUGGUUGACAAUCGGUGUGCUAGCCUGGACGUUGUGGAUUGUUAGGAAUAAGCUUGUGAUUCAGCAUAUCCCUCUUUGUCGCGCUACUGACGCUCUUUUCAAAUGGUCUGCUUACUUGCAGCUUUGGCGGCCGCUUAGCCGCCCCAGGGAGAGAGACGCCAUCACCUCCAUCACCCAGCUUCGUGCGCUCCGGAUGGCUCCGUCGCUUCCCCCCUCCACCACCGGAGUCGGAUUAGGUCUUCUCUACCUCGUCACCGUCGUGUGUGUGCUGUGCGUGCCUGUUAUGUCUGCAUUGGGCUUGUUGUGUUGUGCCCAAAGCUGA